UACGGGGGGGGCAAGCGUUGUUCGGAAUUACUGGGCGUAAAGGGCUCGUAGGCGGCCAACUAAGUCAGACGUGAAAUCCCUCGGCUCAACUGAGGAACUGCCUUUGAAACUGUCUGGCUUGAGGCCGGGAGAGGGUAGCGGAAUUCCCAGUGUAGCGGUGAAAUGCGUAGAUAUUGGGAGGAACACCAGUGGCGAAGGCGGCUACCUGGACCGGUUCUGACGCUGAGGCGCGAAAGCGUGGGUAGCAAACAGG
rnacentral:rRNA from 1 species